GCCUUCGUGGUGUAACGGCAGCACACUCGGCUUGUAUUCGAGUGGGCCAGGUUCGAGUCCCGGCGAAGGCA